rnacentral:rRNA from 1 species
GCAGGUGGCGGCGGCUACCAUGCAGUCGCGCGCGAAGGAGCAAUCCGAGUAGAGCGGCGCACGGGUGCGUAACACGUGGGUAAUCUGCCUCAAAGCCCGGGAUAACCUUCCGAAAGGUUGGCUAAUACCGGAUAAGCUCACGGGAUCUUCGGAUCCUGGGGGAAAAGCUGGCCUCUGUUUACAAGCUAGCACUUUGAGAUGAGCCCGCGGCCCAUCAGCUAGUUGGCGGGGUAACGGCCCACCAAGGCUUCGACGGGUAGCUGGUCUGAGAGGACGAUCAGCCACACUGGAACUGAGACACGGUCCAGACUCCUACGGGAGGCAGCAGUGGGGAAUUUUGCACAAUGGGCGCAAGCCUGAUGCAGCAACGCCGCGUGUGUGAUGAAGGUUUUCGGAUCGUAAAGCACUUUCGACCGGGACGAAAAUGCGACACCUAACACGUGUCGAACUGACGGUACCGGGAGAAGAAGCACCGGCUAACUCUGUGCCAGCAGCCGCGGUAAUACAGAGGGUGCAAGCGUUGUUCGGAAUUAUUGGGCGUAAAGCGCGUGUAGGCGGCUUGGUAAGUCGGGUGUGAAAUCCCUCAGCUCAACUGAGGAAGUGCGCCCGAAACUGUCGAGCUUGAGUGCCGGAGAGGAUGGCGGAAUUCCCCAAGUAGAGGUGAAAUUCGUAGAUAUGGGGAGGAACACCGGUGGCGAAGGCGGCCAUCUGGACGGCAACUGACGCUGAGACGCGAAAGCGUGGGUAGCAAACAGGAUUAGAUACCCUGGUAGUCCACGCUGUAAACGAUGAGAACUAUGUGUCGAGGGUGUUGACCCCCACGGUGCCGUAGCUAACGCAUUAAGUUCUCCGCCUGGGAAGUACGGUCGCAAGAUUAAAACUCAAAGGAAUUGACGG